rnacentral:rRNA from 1 species
UGGGGAAUUUUGGACAAUGGGGGAAACCCUGAUCCAGCCAUCCCGCGUGUGCGAUGAAGGCCUUCGGGUUGUAAAGCACUUUUGGCAGGAAAGAAACGUCGCGGGUUAAUACCCCGCGGAACUGACGGUACCUGCAGAAUAAGCACCGGCUAACUACGUGCCAGCAGCCGCGGUAAUACGUAGGGUGCAAGCGUUAAUCGGAAUUACUGGGCGUAAAGCGUGCGCAGGCGGUUCGGAAAGAAAGAUGUGAAAUCCCAGAGCUUAACUUUGGAACUGCAUUUUUAACUACCGGGCUAGAGUGUGUCAGAGGGAGGUGGAAUUCCGCGUGUAGCAGUGAAAUGCGUAGAUAUGCGGAGGAACACCGAUGGCGAAGGCAGCCUCCUGGGAUAACACUGACGCUCAUGCACGAAAGCGUGGGGAGCAAACAGGAUUAGAUACCCUGGUAGUCCACGCCCUAAACGAUGUCAACUAGCUGUUGGGGUCUUCGGACCUUGGUAGCGCAGCUAACGCGUGAAGUUGACCGCCUGGGGAGUACGGUCGCAAGAUUAAAAACUCAAAGGAAUUGG